rnacentral:rRNA from 1 species
GACGAACGCUGUGCGGCGUGCUUAACACAUGCAAGUCGAACGAUGAAGCCCUUCGGGGUGGAUUAGUGGCGAACGGGUGAGUAACACGUGGGCAAUCUGCCCUUCACUCUGGGACAAGCCCUGGAAACGGGGUCUAAUACCGGAUAACACCUGCCCGGGCAUCUGGGUGGGUUAAAAGCUCCGGCGGUGAAGGAUGAGCCCGCGGCCUAUCAGCUUGUUGGUGAGGUAGUGGCUCACCAAGGCGACGACGGGUAGCCGGCCUGAGAGGGCGACCGGCCACACUGGGACUGAGACACGGCCCAGACUCCUACGGGAGGCAGCAGUGGGGAAUAUUGCACAAUGGGCGAAAGCCUGAUGCAGCGACGCCGCGUGAGGGAUGACGGCCUUCGGGUUGUAAACCUCUUUCAGCAGGGAAGAAGCGAAAGUGACGGUACCUGCAGAAGAAGCGCCGGCUAACUACGUGCCAGCAGCCGCGGUAAUACGUAGGGCGCAAGCGUUGUCCGGAAUUAUUGGGCGUAAAGAGCUCGUAGGCGGCUUGUCACGUCGGGUGUGAAAGCCCGGGGCUUAACCCCGGGUCUGCAUUCGAUACGGGCUAGCUAGAGUGUGGUAGGGGAGAUCGGAAUUCCUGGUGUAGCGGUGAAAUGCGCAGAUAUCAGGAGGAACACCGGUGGCGAAGGCGGAUCUCUGGGCCAUUACUGACGCUGAGGAGCGAAAGCGUGGGGAGCGAACAGGAUUAGAUACCCUGGUAGUCCACGCCGUAAACGGUGGGAACUAGGUGUUGGCGANAUNCACGUCGUUCGGUGCCGCANCUAACGCAUNAGUUCCCCNCUGGGGNUACNGCCCNAGGCUAAACUNAAGGAUUGACGGGGCCCCNNCAAACANNGGACAUGGG